UACGGGGGGGGCAAGCGUUGUUCGGAAUUAUUGGGCGUAAAGAGCUCGUAGGCGGUUUGUCGCGUCUGCUGUGAAAACUCGGGGCUUAACUCCGGGCCUGCAGUGGGUACGGGCAGACUAGAGUGCGGUAGGGGAGACUGGAAUUCCUGGUGUAGCGGUGAAAUGCGUAGAUAUCGGAAGGAACACCGGUGGCGAAAGCGGCGUGCUGGAUCCCUUCUGACGCUGAGGCGCGAAAGCCAGGGGAGCGAACGGG
rnacentral:rRNA from 1 species